ACUCCUACGGGAGGCAGCAGUGGGGAAUAUUGGACAAUGGGCGAAAGCCUGAUCCAGCCAUGCCGCGUGUGUGAAGAAGGCCUUUUGGUUGUAAAGCACUUUAAGCGAGGAGGAGGCUACUUGGAUUAAUACUCUAGGAUAGUGGACGUUACUCGCAGAAUAAGCACCGGCUAACUCUGUGCCAGCAGCCGCGGUAAUACAGAGGGGUGCGAGCGUUAAUCGGAUUUACUGGGCGUAAAGCGUGCGUAGGCGGCUUUUUAAGUUCGGAUGUGAAAUCCCUGAGCUUAACUUAGGAAUUGCAUUCGAUACUGGGAAGCUAGAGUAUGGGAGAGGAUGGUAGAAUUCCAGGUGUAGCGGUGAAAUGCGUAGAGAUCUGGAGGAAUACCGAUGGCGAAGGCAGCCAUCUGGCCUAAUACUGACGCUGAGGUACGAAAGCAUGGGGAGCAAACAGGAUUAGAUACCCUGGUAGGAUAGCG
rnacentral:rRNA from 1 species